rnacentral:lncRNA from 1 species
AUGAUACAAGGGAAAAUUUCAAAAAUCUCCGGUAGUUUCGCACUUUCUCACUUGUGUAUUCUAUAGUUUAACGUGCAUCAAUUUGCCCUCAUGUGAUUUUAUUUUUAUCUUUACGGCAAUUUUUUUCUUAAUAUUUCGUUAAAUUAUAUAAAAAAACUUCAGAUACCUACAUAGAUUUAUCGAAUAUUUACAUUAGUACCCUUUAAUUUUAACUUUGUCACUGAUUUUAAAAAAAUAAUAAUAAAAUUGAUACUAAAAAGAGAAAAAUGAAACCACAGGGGGGCAAAUUGAUACACUUUAAACCACAUGAUACUAAAGUGAGAAGUACAAAACCAUAUGGAUUUUUUUUGAAGUUUUCCUAUGAUAAAAGUAUGGGUGUUGAU